GAACACAUAAAGUAGCAAAACAUUUCACAUGCAUUAUUACUUUUGAACACCAUUUUGACACUCAGUCAAAGAUUCAUUUCCUUGAAAAAAGGUUGGGGCGCCCUUAUUAGGUCAAAUACGGUAAUUGGCAAAUAUAUGGAUUCAUGAUGUGAACCUCACUUAAAUUUGUUUUUUAAGUCUUGUAAUGCUUUAACAUAUAAGUCACCCUAUAUUGGCUCUAGUCUCUGAAGGGUUGGAUUUGUGAAACAUCACUCUAUAUUGACUCUAGUCUGUUAAGGGUUGGAUUGGUGAAACAUCACUCCAUAUUGACUCUAGUCUGUUAAGGGUUGGAUUGGUGAAACAUCACCCUAUAUUGGCUCUAGUCUGUUAAGGAUUGGUGAAAUAUCACUCUAUAUUGACUCUAGUCUGUUAAGGGUUGGAUUGGUGAAAUAUCACUCUAUAUUGGCUCUAGUCUGUUAAGGGUUGGAUUGGUGAAAUAUCACUCUAUAUUGACUCUAGUCUGUUAAGGGUUGGAUUGGUGAAACAUCACUCUAUAUUGACUCUAGUCUGUUAAGGGUUGGAUUGGUGAAAUAUCACUCUAUAUUGACUCUAGUCUGUUAAGGGUUGGAUUGGUGAAACAUCACUCUAUAUUGACUCUAGUCUGUUAAGGGUUGGAUUGGUGAAAUAUCACUCUAUAUUGACUCUAGUCUGUUAAGGGUUGGAUUGGUGAAAUAUCACUCUAUAUUGGCUCUAGUCUGUUAAGGGUUGGAUUGGUGAAAUAUCACCCUAUAUUGACUCUAGUCUGUUAAGGGUUGGAUUGGUGAAAUAUCACUCUAUAUUGACUCUAGUCUGUUAAGGGUUGGAUUGGUGAAAUAUCACUCUAUAUUGACUCUAGUCUGUUAAGGGUUGGAUUGGUGAAAUAUCACUCUAUAUUGGCUCUAGUCUGUUAAGGGUUGGAUUGGUGAAAUAUCACUCUAUAUUGGCUCUAGUCUGUUAAGGGUUGGAUUGGUGAAAUAUCACCCUAUAUUGGCUCUAGUCUGUUAAGGGUUGGAUUGGUGUAAUAUCACUCUAUAUUGGCUCUAGUCUGUUAAGGGUUGGAUUGGUGAAACAUCACCCUAUAUUGGCUCUAGUCUGUUAAGGGUUGGAUUGGUGAAACAUCACUCUAUAUUGGCUCUAGUCUGUUAAGGGUUGGUGAAAUAUCACUCUAUAUAGGCUCUAGUCUGUUAAGGGUUGGAUUGGUGAAAUAUCACCCUAUAUUGGCUCUAGUCUGUUAAGGGUUGGAUUGGUGAAAUAUCACUCUAUAUUGGCUCUAGUCUGUUAAGGGUUGGAUUGGUGAAAUAUCACUCUAUAUUGGCUCUAGUCUGUUAAGGGUUGGAUUGGUGAAACAUCACCCUAUAUUGGCUCUAGUCUGUUAAGGGUUGGUGAAAUAUCACUCUAUAUUGGCUCUAGUCUGUUAAGGGUUGGAUUGGUGAAAUAUCACUCUAUAUUGGCUCUAGUCUGUUAAGGGUUGGAUUGGUGAAAUAUCACUCUAUAUUGGCUCUAGUCUGUUAAGGGUUGGAUUGGUGAAACAUCACCCUAUAUUGGCUCUAGUCUGUUAAGGGUUGGAUUGGUGUAAUAUCACUCUAUAUUGGCUCUAGUCUGUUAAGGGUUGGAUUGGUGAAAUAUCACCCUAUAUUGGCUCUAGUCUGUUAAGGGUUGGAUUGGUGAAAUAUCACCCUAUAUUGACUCUAGUCUGUUAAGGGUUGGAUUGGUGAAACAUCACCCUAUAUUGGCUCUAGUCUCUGAAGGGUUGGAU